rnacentral:rRNA from 1 species
UACGUAGGGGGCAAGCGUUGUCCGGAAUCAUUGGGCGUAAAGCGCGUGUAGGCGGUUCGGUAAGUCGGCUGUGAAAGUCCAGGGCUCAACCCUGGGAUGCCGGUCGAUACUGCCGGACUAGAGUUCGGGAGAGGAGAGUGGAAUUCCCAGUGUAGAGGUGAAAUUCGUAGAUAUUGGGAAGAACACCGGUGGCGAAGGCGGCUCUCUGGACCGAGACUGACGCUGAGGCGCGAAAGCGUGGGGAGCAAACAGG